ensembl:piRNA 21ur-1161 ncRNA
UAUUCGGUAAACAUGCUGUAG